UAGCCUAGUGGAUAAGGCUAUGGAUCGCCAAUCCGGAGACGACGGGUUCGAUUCCCGU
rfam:Aedes albopictus isolate Foshan contig18844, whole genome shotgun sequence.